UUCCUUGAGACCAAAAUUGUACCCAUGUCUCAGUUGUGCCCCAGGUUGGCAGGAGGCACCAGACUGGGCCUGUUUUCUUGGCCUCCAGGAGGCUCAGAUCCCUCUGCCUUGCCCGGGGCCUGGUACUGUCAGGAGGGAGCCAGGGUCUGGGAGACGAGGCUAGGAUAGAGGCAGGGAUGGGGGAUCCAAGAGGUGGCCCAGGGGUGGGCUGGAAGUGAGGUGGAGUCAUUGGAGGCCACUGCAGGUCCCAGAAGGUCACACAGCAGCUGGGGCAAGGGUCCCAACUUCCAGGACAUUGCGACCAAACCCCUUCCAUAGCUGUGUGCUGUGGACAAGGCCUUUCAAACAAUGCCACCCUCCCAGGGGGCUGCAGGAAUUCAGUGCUACAUGAAGCAAGCACAGUUCUCAGCUCCAGGCCCAGGGAAGGGGGCCCCCAGGAACAGGCACUGUGCUGCGAAGGGCUUCAAUCCUUACAAGAUGUCAUUUCACAGAUUAGGCUGAGGAAGCCAAGACUCUCUCCCCAAGAAGAGGCUCCUGAUUCUUCUCUCUGAGGGCACAGCUCCGCGCCAGCCUCCUCCACCCUCCAUCCUCUCUCAGCUCGCUCUGCAGAGCUCAUGGCUCCCAGAACCUUCAGUGGCUCCCUGCCACCUGCAGAACAAAGGACAGGCUCUCCUUUGGUGCUCUAGGCACCUGGAAAUCUGGCCACACCCUCCCUCCCAGCUCCCCUCUCUGUCCUCAGUGCCCAGAUGUGCCCGGUGCUCUGCCACCUGACUCUGUGCCCAGCCCUGUUGAAUCCCCUCCCUUCUCCAGACACCAUCCAGUGCCACCCCCUCCAGGAAGCCUGUGCAUUUCCUAGUUGAUGGGACUUUUGGAGAGGCUGUACUUGCAGCCUCUCCACUUACAGAGAAUUGGGGUUGGACCCACCAGGCCUAGGUAAAUCAUUCUGCCUCUUUGCUCCUCCCUUUUUCCAUCUGUAAAAUGGGAUUUGAGACCACUAGCUGCUCCAUUGACCUGUUGGAAGGAUGAGAAGAAGGCACAGAUGUGCAGUGAGCUCUGUCAUCUCCAAGUUCCAGACCUAGGAGAGGCCCUUCCCCACAUGGCCUCCACAUAACUGCCCCCUCUGGCCAAGAGGACUCUGCUUUGAGGGAGGGAGUGCCAGCCUCCCUAUCCCCAGUGAAAGGUGGGGUGGGUGUGCCACCAGGUUCUGGCCAAGGGAACAUCAGAGAGUCUACUGGGGCCUGUGGGGAAGGUUUCCUCCUUGAGAAGAGAGAGACAGCUCACUGCUUAGGGAGGCAGCCACCUCAGGGCACUUGGUAUCUGGGGCUGCAGUGACAUCAUUUCCAUGAGAGAAGGUGAGGAAUUUUCCAGCCAAGGGUGGAAAGUCAGCAAAUGCUGGGGUCUCUGCUACGGCACUGGGCUACUGAGUCCCCCUGGGGUUGGAGCUGAGACCAGAGUGUGAAGGUCAACCAUGUGGCAAUUGAGGGGAAGGAUGUUCCAGGUAACAGCCAGUGCAAAGACCCCAGGCAGGAAGGAGCUUAGUGUAUCCUGGGACCAGCGUGUUUGCAUGUGUUUGUGUGUGUGUGUGUGUGUUUGUGUGUACUUGUGCGGCUGGAGUAGGGAUAACAGCGGGGAGAGUGACAGGGAAGGACAUCAGGAAUGGCAGGGGCUCGAUGACACAGGACCUCACAGGCCACAGCCAGCCAGAUCUUUAGAUUUUAAUCAUUACCCCAACUUUUAUCAUAAAAAUGUCCCAAAAUUUGAGAAAUUGAAAAUAUAAAAUAAACACUCACAUAUAUAUAUUCCAUCUAGGUUCAACCACUUAACAUUCUGGCAUAUCUGCUAAGCAUCACAUAGAUGCACUUUCCUUCCCCUUAGCAUUUGAAGAAAACUGGAGGACUUCAUGUCUCCAGACUUCUGAAUGCUUGAUCAUGCCUCUCCUAAGAGCAAGGAUGUUUGCUGCAUAAGCACAUUACCAGUGUUACUAGGGAAAAGUAAAAUGAUUCCCUAAUUUUCAUCCAUAUUCAGAUUGACUCCUGAAUGUGUUUUGUAGCUGACUCUGCCUUCUUCCCUCCCUCCUUCCUUCCCUCAUUCCUUUCUUCUUUUUCCUGGAACCAGAAUCUAAUGAAGGUUUACUUGUUGCAUUUGAUGAUUAUUAUUUCAGAUUCUUUUCAGCUAGAACAGUCUUCCACCUGUUUCCCUGGACAUGGAUUCUGUAAAACGUUCAUUCACUCAACUACUCCAUUAAAUCAAGGUUUGUCCCACAUACAGCAAACAAGUCUUCAGUAUGUGACUUGGUGAAUUUGUACAGCUGUAAUCACUAGCCAGAUCAAGAUUGAGAACAUUCCCAGCCUCCCAGAAGUUUCCUGUCCUACUUCCAGGAGAUCCAGCCUAGCCCAAGGCAGCUGCGGGUCCAAGUCCAUUGCCACAGGUGGAUCUGGGGUGUCCUAGAGUUCCUGGGAGGUGAGGCCUCACCACCUUGUCUUGGGCAGGGCUGCUUCUGCUCAGCCUGAUGUCUGGUGGUAUCUCAGCUUCGGGUGGACACACUCUCCUCUUGUCCCAUCAGGGUGACAUUUGGGGUGUGUCUGGCGACAGUGAGUAAGACGUUAACCCUCAUGAGGAGUCCAGGUCAGCUGUGGUGUCUGCUGGUUUCCUCGUGGUGUCACCUGAUAUGUCCUGAUUUCACAUGAACCGAAAUGCUUCGAUACACCAGAUCAGGACUUGGCAGGUGGGGAUCUGCCCUUUGUCUCACAUCCCACCCAGAGGCCCAGGAUGUCAGGUGGUCCCACUGUCCGUGACCUCAGGCGGGUCAGGUGGUGACCCCAGAGCUUUCCACAGUUAAGUUUUCACUUUCACAUCAGGGUCAGGGCAAAGACAGAACAGGGAGACCAGUAAGGAGGCUACUACAAUAGUCCAGGUGACUGAGCGUGGCAGUAGUGGUGCAGGGUGACAGUGGAGGGGAGCUGCGCUGCAGCCCCUGCAUGAGGAGUGCUCCCUCAAUGUCAGCUAGCCCAGGCUGAGCUUUCAGAAGGCAGAGGACAUGACCUGUGCACCUCCACAUUCCCAGCACCCAGUGCCCAUCCUGGGCCUGGCAGAAAAGGCAUCCCAAUCACACCUGGGUACACCUGAAUUGGGGGAAACAUGACUUUGGGGGUUUGAUGCUGCAAUAAAUAAACAGAACAAGAGUCUGACCCAGUUACCCAGCAGGCCUUGUAGCAGUUUCUGAUGAAUCACACUCUUAACCUUCUCCCCAAGCACUGUGAGUCACCAGGGAGGCCUCUGUCUUUAGGGAACAUUGACAUUGUCCCAGGGGAAAAACAAUGUCGACAACAGUCAGGUCUGCCUCUUGGGGACAGAAAGUUCCCAGUCUGGGACCUGGCUCUGCCAGGCUCCAGCUCUUCCCCCUACCCCACCCGCUGUGGUCCAGGGGGUGAGGCUCAGGCCCCUGCUUGGCAUCUUUACCUGGCAACCUGGAGGCAGCUACUGCCUGCAUCCCAUGGCUCAAGGUUAUCUGUGUCAGUUACCUGUCUCUGUGUAACAUGUUACCCCAAACAACAACAAACACUGGUUACAGCUGGUGUUUUCUCUGGGCCAGAAACUCUAGAGGAGCUGAGCUGGUGCUUCUGGUCUUCAGCCUCUUGUGACAGAGCUGUCAGGGUGUUAUCAGCUGGGACUGCUGUCAUCAGAAGGCUUGACUGGGGCUGGAGGCUCUGCUUUUCCUGUCAGCCAACUCACAGGGAUGGCAGUCAGUACUAGCUGCUGCUGGGAGACUCAGCUCCUUUGCACAGGCUGCCGCCCCCACGGUGGCGGGCCUCCCCAGAGGAAAUGGCCCCAGAGUGGGGCGGAAGCUGCAAUGCCAUGUGACUUAACCUCGGAAGUCACAUACCAUCAUUUCUGCAAUAUCCUAUCAGUUACACAGCACUGCUUGGUGGGAGUGGCUGUGAGUGGUGAACAUCAGCUGGUGAGGCUCUCUGGGACCUGCCUUAGAGUCACACAGGCAGUUGAUUGCAAUGAGCAGGGGGGACCUUCUGUGUACUUGCCUACCUGCCAGUCAUCCUGUGUGCCAGGCCCUGGGCUAGGGCCUUGGCAUGCAGUGGUGAGGAAAGCAGAGAAAAACACCAUUCAUUCAGGGGUUUCCUUAGGUGUGCAAGCCCCAUGGGCUAUGCAGGGAUGAACAAGAUUAGCAAGGGCCUCACACACCAGUCAGGGCCUCACAUACACAGAUGAUGUGCCAGGAGCACAGGGACAAAUUGCAAGGGGCCCUUAGAGAGAGAGAAAGCUCCUGGCUCAGGAAUAAUCAGGGAAGGCCCCAGGAGGAGGUGGCGUUUGAACUAGUUUUUACAUCCAUAACUAGGUAGGUGGGGAACAGUAUCACACAGGGGUCAGGCCAGAUGUGGGGUCAGGCCCAUGCCUCCUGAGACACGCCUCCCCCCCAGACUCUUACGUGACACAAAGCAAUUCAUAUGCGAUAUUGUGUGCCAUGGCCUGAGCUGGCCACUGGGAUCCAGCAGUGGAUGAAACAGACUUCAUGGUGCUGAAAAUUUUGGUCCUAUGUCAGAGAGAGGGUCUGGAGCUUCCCCUCUAGUAAAAUACUUUUACUAUUUUGCUAAUAGUAAAAGUAGCUCUAUUAGGCCAAGCAACGUCCACGCGUCAUCUGACUGUAGUGGGCACCGUCAUAUCUCUGUUUGACAGAUGAGGAAAUGAAGCCCAGGCCUGGAUGGACUGGCCCAGGUCAGAGAAUCAGGCCAAUUUCCAGGCCUCAUAAGUGGGUGCUAGCCCCAGAGAAUGCGGGCGAGCGCCUUUGCCUGGCUCUCUGGAAUGUGCUGGGCUGAGGGUGCUGGUCUCCCUUCCCCACCCGCAGAAGACCCUCAGGCUGGGGGGCCUCCCAAUGUGGGAGGAGGCCUGUGAAGUUGUGUGGUCAGCCUCUCUCCUCAAGAUCAACCUUAUUUGAAUUCCCAUUUUGGUGCAGCGGAAACGAAUCUGACUAGGAACCAUGAGGUUGUGGGUUCGAUCCCUGUCCUCACUCAGUGGGUUAAGGAUACAGUGUUGCCGUGAGCUGUGGUGUAGGUUGCAGAUGUGGCUCGGAUCCUGCGUUGCUGUGGCUGUGGUGUAGGCUGGCAGCUGUAGCUCCAGUUGGACCCCUAGCCUAGAAACUCCAUGUGCCAUGGGU
rnacentral:lncRNA from 1 species